rnacentral:rRNA from 1 species
UACGUAGGGGGCUAGCGUUGUCCGGAAUCAUUGGGCGUAAAGCGCGUGUAGGCGGUCCGGUAAGUCCGCUGUGAAAGUCGGGGGCUCAACCCUCGAAUGCCGGUGGAUACUGUCAGACUAGAGUACGGAAGAGGCGAGUGGAAUUCCUGGUGUAGCGGUGAAAUGCGCAGAUAUCAGGAGGAACACCCAUGGCGAAGGCGGUUCUCUGGGACGGUACUGACGCUGAGACGCGAAAGCGUGGGGAGCGAACAGG